rnacentral:piRNA from 1 species
AUCGGAACCUGCAGACACUCGUGGAGGCGUC